CUACAUGGAUCUUUCUCGGAGGGGGAGGAGAGGAGGCUUCUUCUAUUCUUCUCUCAGCUCUUCUCCAAGGGGUUUCUCUUGGGGGUAAACCCUAAGGAAAGGAUCCAAAGAUCCAACGAGCAUCUCAGAAAGCCAGGGCUCUGAUUUCAUGGGUUCAUGGCUCGCUAUGAUGCUGAUAUUGUUUCAUUUUCUCUAAAUUUCUUAAUUUUAUUAGCUAUUUUUUAGUUGUUUUUGCGAUCUCUUGGGGAUUUCUGGAUCUGAUAAUGGUUGGUGAUGGCUGUAUUUUUUUCUAAACUUGCAGGUGAACAGAAGAAUCAUCGUCUGAGUGCAAGUCUUAUGCUUUCUUUCUUUUUCAAAAAUGUUAUAAUGUGUUUAGGAGAAAUAUUUAAAUUUUGCAAGUUUUGUGUUGGAAAAAGCUUUUGUAAAUUACUUCACAUUAGUUGUUAUUAUCAUGAAAUUUUAUAAAAUUUGGUGCUUUUGUGUUUGAGGAUUUCCUUGGAACUGCCUUUUUGCUUAUUAAAACAAUUAAAGGAAUAAUUAAAUUAAAAAUAGGUAUAUUCUCAAAAUGAAAAAUCAGGGGUAUUUAUCAGUUGUAUCCUCA
rnacentral:lncRNA from 1 species